rnacentral:lncRNA from 1 species
UAUUCUUGUUAUGCAGGAUGCUCCAAUAUUUUCUUUGGAUGAUAAUUCUUUUCCAGGUUCAUUUGAUAGCCAAAAGAACAACUCUGCGAAUCUUCCUGAUCUUUUGAGUGUCAAUCAACUUAUGGAAUCAGUAUGUUAGCCACUACAUUUUUUUAUAUAUAGCUUUUAUUGACUUAAAAGAAAUGUAGCCUUUUGUUGGUUUGUUAAUGAAGCAAAAUUCAGAGAGAGGAAGGUACAUCAUGACAAUAUUUUGAAAGCAUGCUUUAUGCACUCAGGUCCUGGAGACAGCACAUCAAGUUGGAAGGUUGUCAAUCUCAAAUGCACCUGAUGUGCCUUACAAGGAGAUGGCUGGCCACUGUGAGGCACUCCUGAUAGGAAAGCAGCAGAAGAUGUCCAGUUUGAUGAAUUUCCAACAGAACCAGGAAUAUUUGAUGAACCUAUCUUUACAAAAUCGUAACAAUGAUGUGAAAUGGAUGAUGUCCGAUUUCCAAGCUGAUGCCUGUUCCCAUAAGGUACUUCCUGGCUUUAACUUAAACCAUGGAUACUUGUGCUAUAUCAAUGUAUAUAUCUACGCAUACCAUGCACGUGCUCUGGCUGGAAUUUUGAUGUAGUUGAGUUGUAAAGAUACAUACUAUCCAGA